rnacentral:rRNA from 1 species
AGCGUAACAAGGUCUCCGUUGGUGAACCAGCGGAGGGAUCAUUACAGAGUUAUCCAACUCCCAAACCCAUGUGAACUUAUCUCUUUGUUGCCUCGGCGCAAGCUACCCGGGACCUCGCGCCCCGGGGGGCCCGCCGGCGGACAAACCAAACUCUGUUAUCUUCGUUGAUUAUCUGAGUGUCUUAUUUAAUAAGUCAAAACUUUCAACAACGGAUCUCUUGGUUCUGGCAUCGAUGAAGAACGCAGCGAAAUGCGAUAAGUAAUGUGAAUUGCAGAAUUCAGUGAAUCAUCGAAUCUUUGAACGCACAUUGCGCCCAUUAGUAUUCUAGUGGGCAUGCCUGUUCGAGCGUCAUUUCAACCCCUAAGCACAGCUUAUUGUUGGGACUCUACGGCUUCGUAGUUCCCCAAAGACAUUGGCGGAGUGGCAGCAGUCCUCUGAGCGUAGUAAUUCUUUAUCUCGCUUUUGUUAGGCGCUGCCCCCCCGGCCGUAAAACCCCCAAUUUUUUCUGGUUGACCUCGGAUCAGGUAGGAAUACCCGCUGAACUUAAGCAUAUCAA